rnacentral:rRNA from 1 species
AGCAGCCGCGGUAAUUCCAGCUCCAAUAGCGUAUAUUAAAGUUGUUGCAGUUAAAAAGCUCGUAGUUGAAUUUCGGGGUCAAUACGUCGGUCGUGCUUCGGUACGCACUAACGUCAUUGAUUCCUCCCUUCUGACGAACCGUGAUGUCAUUAAUUUGGUGUUGCGGGAAAUCAGGACUGUUACCUUGAAAAAAUUAGAGUGUUUAAAGCAGGCAAU